ensembl:lncRNA
CAGAAAAAAACUAAGCCCAGAAGGUAGGAGGCAGAAGACAUCUAGAAAGAGAAGGUUGAAAAGAUGUUCGAGUGUUUGAGGUAGAAAAUGAGAAACAAGCUGUUGGAGACAAGCAUACAAGAUAGAGGUCCAAGUAAUUGGAAGAUAGAAAAGUCCGAAGCCAAAAAAUUGGAUAAGUACAAGACGCAAAACUAAGAAAAAUAAUUUUUAAUAGUUAAAUUUAUUUAAAAAGCCCAUCAACUUUAAUUUGUGGUGGUGCAGAAGUUAGAUCUGAGAAGAGGGUUUUAAACUACAGUAGACCAAGACCAACUUAGAAGAAUAUCUCGAAGCUGUAGAGGGAAGUAAAUUUAAAAUCACAGCAAAAAGCUACUAAAAAGACUGAUGUAAAAAUUAAGGUAGACGGAAGAGUUAAAAAUUUGAAAGGCCUUAAAUCCAUACAGUAGUUUAGUUUCUUCUGGAAAACUUAAAGGACGAUAAAUUCAAGAGCGAGGAUAACCAAGUUAACAUUUUUUGCAUUGGACUUUGAGCUAAGAUGAAUUUCUAAACCCUGAGGACUAGGCGCUAAUUAACAGCUGACCAGGUGCUACACAGAAGUGGAUUCAGAGAACCUAGGAAGACAGCAGCAGACAGGAUUCCAGGAGCCAGUUUUUGGUGAAACUAGGACUGAGGAGCGAGCGGCAGUUCGUGAAGAUAGGAAGGAGGAGCCCGGGAGCCAGUGCGAUUUGGUGAAGGAAGCUAGGAAGAAGGAAGGAGCCCUAACGGUUGGAGGUGAAGCUAGGAGAGGAUUCCAGGAAGGAGGAAGCCAGUGCGAUGUGGUGAUGAAGCUAGCGUGCGGCUUGGCGGCGUGGCUUGGCAACCCCGCGGAGGAGGCGAGCAGGCGGUGUGGAGGCUAGAUAGAGCGUCCUAGAGCGGCAGCCCAGUGUGCAAGGCCGGCAGGGAGAGCCAGUGGUGUGGUAAAAAUCCGUGAGGUCGGCAGUAUCGUGGGUUCUGCUUUGUUUCUUCACCUUUUUUUGGUAACAGUACGGUAAUCUUUGUUGUAUUUCCUAAUGGUGAUGGGGGAGCUGUGUACUUAAGCAUAAAGGGUUUUAUGGGGAUGUAGGCCGAUUUUCGGGUGUUGUAGGUUUCUCUUUUUCAGGCGUAUUUUCUCAUCUUGUCUGAAGCUUUUGAGGGCAGACUACCAAGGCCCGGAGGAAUAGUAGAUGGCAAGUGUUUUCGUUUUUAACCAAUAUGAGGGAAAACAAAUGAAUUUGAUAGAACAACCUUGAGACAGUUUCAGCCAGCUUUGUAAGCAGGUUUUAUAUUUAGCUUGGUAAUGAAGCAUUUCCGUUUUGUGAGUAGAUGACUUAAUUUUCUUUCUCAUUCUCUAUUCUAAGUUACCUAUAUAUAUAUAGUUGGGUGUGUAAUUCGGGGGGGUAAAGGUUUUGGGGGGGCAAAAUAUGUUUUGAGUUCUUUUCCCCUUAGGUCUGUCUAGAAUUCCAAAGGCAAAUGACUCAAGGUAACAGGAAAAAAGAAAAUCCAGUAUCAGGAUAAUCAGAACACCACAGGUUUACAGUUUGUAGAAACUAGAACACGAGCAGCUCUCACUUAAGGUCUGUGAUGGAACUCCAGUGGAGAAAUGGCUGGUACUUUUUCCACCCCUUAAUCAGAUUUUUUUUUUAAUUAAAGUAUGUAACCGGUUAUUUUUACUUGAAGUAUUUUGGGGUGGUCUUAACAGGGAAGAGGGUGGGGGAGAAAAUGUUUUUUUCUAAGACUUUCCACAGAUGCUAUAGUACUAUUGACAAACUGAGUUAGAGAAGGAUUGUACUGCUAUGCUGUUGGCACCAAACACCUUCAGGGAUUGGAGCUGCUUUUUUCCUUGGAGUAUUCCCAGUGAAGCUGAAAUAUACAGCACAGUGCAGCUUUGGUUCAUAUUCAGUCAUCUCAGGAGAACUUCAGAGGAGCUUGACUAGGCCAAAUAUUGAAGUUAAGUUUUCAAAUAAUGGAACUUUUUAAGAUGCCUUUUAAAGGGGAGGGGCAAGUUUUGGCAAUUAGUUGGCAGUGGCCUGUUUUGGUUGGGGUUGGGUGGGUUGGGUUUAGGUAAUUGUUUAGUUUAUGAUUUCAGAUAACUCAUGCCAGAGAACUUAAAUACUUAGGAUGGAAAAACUAAAGAAAUCUCACCUCCCAAGUUGGCAAGUAACUCCUGAUCCUCUAGUUUCUUGUUUUACCCCAAUUUUUGAACUGGACAGCUGGGAACUUCAAAGAUUCACUGGAUUUAAAGUGUAGGGCUUGGGAAAGGAAAGUGUUGGAUUGGGGGUUGGUCUAGCCCACUGGGUUGACCAAGAUAAAAACUUGGGGAAUUGUUUAAACACUAAAGUUGUUUGGAUAUGGUAGUGUGUGGUUCUCUUUUGGAAUUUUUUUCAGGUGAUUUAAUAAAACUUAAUACUACUAUAGGAGCUUCAGAGCAAAGGAAGUGGCUUAAUGAUCCUGAAGGGAUUUCUUCUGAUGGUAGCUUUUAUAUUAUCAAGUAAGAUUCUAUUUUCAGUUACAUAAGCAAGUUUUUUAGUAUAGGAAAUUUUUGUAUGGCUGCGAGACAAGAUGUAAAGGUUUCUCAUUAUCAGAAGAGUUGCUUCAUAUCAUCUGGGAGCAGAAAACAGCAGGCAGCUGUUCACAGAUAAGUUUAACUUGCAUCUGCAGUAUUGCAUGUUAGGGAUAAGUGCUAUGUUUAAUAAGAGCUGUGGAGGUCCUAGGUCCCUUACUCAAGGGAUCUCAGGAUUUUGAGGAAUUUUCCCAUCCAGCCUUUUAAAAUGAGACAGGCCUUAUGCCUGUGGGCUUCCAUGAUGGGCUAACUCACUUCACUCGAGGCAAGUAAUUCCUUAAAGCCUCUUGAGAUUAAUACCUUAAUAAUCAAGGAUAAUGUUGAUAAAAUAAAAAUUUGUUUAGCAUUGAUUCUUGAAAACCCUAUGAAAAGAUAGCAUAAUGUGCUGUUAACCAGAAUCAGAUAUGUUAACCUUGCUAAAAUUUAAAUGUUAUGUGUAUUGUGCAGAAAACCGUAAAAUCACUCAAAAUAAAAUACUUUAUUUAGCGAAUGUAUGCUUUUAGAAAGCUGUCUCCUUAUUUAAAUAAAAUAUUGUUUGUCUGUAGUUAGUGUUGGGCAAUCUUGGGGGGAUUCUUCUCAUCUUUCAGAGACUUUGUCUGCGAACACUCUGUAAUGGACAAGAUCAGGAAUUGAGCUGAAGAACGAAUUUAACUUAAGGCAGGAAAGACAAAUUUUAUCCUUCGUAAAAUUGAUGACCAUUUAAUAAUUCCAGGCACAUGGCCAUAGAGACCCUCUAAAUAAAUAAGGAAUAAAUACUUAUUAGGCAGGUGGGAGAUUAUGAUCAGAAGAACAGGUAACUACACCUACGCAUUUUUCAGAAAGUCAGGAGUCGAAAUUGACAGUACUGAAGUAUAAUGCGGUCCACAUUUCCAAAGUUUGCAUGUUAAAUUGAAAUGCUUACCAUCUCAUCUAGUGUUAGCCAAUGCUUUACACUUAUUAGCCUUUUAUAUAGACACUUGGUGGGGGGCAUGUGGGUUUUUUAAAGAACUUUCCUUUGCAGAGGCUUCGUUUCAUCCUUCAUGAGGCUGUUCAGGAUUUUGACUUGCAUAUAAACGCUUGGCUCUGCCUUCUGUUCUCCUAGUGGGUGUGUGAGACCUUGCAGUGAGUUUUCAGCAUACUCAAGUAAAAAUUUUUUUCCCCCUGAUUUUGGAGGGAAGGGAGGAGAGGGUGGGGCUUACUUGUUUUAGCUUUUUUUUUGCAGACUACACAGAAUGCAGUUGUCUUGACCUCAGGUCUGUCUGUUCUGUUGGCAAGUAAUAAUGCAGUACUGUUCUGACCUGCUGCUAUUAGAAUGCAUUGUGAAACGACUGGAGUAUGAUUAAAAGUUAUGUUUCCCCCAAUGCUUGGAGUAGUGAUUGUUGAAGGAAAAUCCACUGAGUGAUAAAAGGCUGAGUGUUGAGGAAAUUUCUGCAGCUUUAAGCAUUCAUGUUUGUGAUUGAAGCAGUCCUUUUUGCUGUGCUUUAGGUAAAAUGCUUUUUGUUCACUUCUGGUAGGGGGGGUGGGGAGGGCACUGAAGCCUUUAGUCUUUUCCAGAUGCAACUUUAAAAUCAGUGACAAGAAAUAAGUUCCAAACGAACAACAGACUUCAAGAAGUUUAACUGGCAAGUGGAAACGUUUUAACAUCAGUUCAGUGGUCUUAGUGCAUUGUGUGUGCAGGUUUCUCUCUUCCCUCCCUUGGUCUCAAUUCUUAUACACAGGAACAUUCAGAACAACAGAUGAAGGGCCAGAGAAGCCAGACCCAGUAAGGAAAAA